rnacentral:rRNA from 1 species
CAGAUUGAACGCUGGCGGCAUGGCUAAAACAUGCAAGUUGAACGUGCCCGCAAGGGAAAGUAGCGAAAGGGUGAGUAAUGCGAUCCUAUGUACCCGAGGUGGGGAUAGCGGUGGGAAACUGCCGGUAAGUACCCCAUGUCCUCGCAAGAGAAAAGGUUUACCGCCUUGGGAGCAGGGAUCGUCCUAUCAGGUAGUUGGCGGGGUAAUGGCCCACCAAGCCGAAGACGGGUAGCCGGUAUGAGAGUACGGCCGGCCACAUCGGGACUGAGACACUGCCCGGACUCCUACGGGAGCUGCAGUAACGAAUAUUCCGCAAUGGGCGAAAGCUGACGGAGCAAUGCCGCGUGUGGGAUGAAAGCGGGCUUUCGCCGUGUAAAACCGAC